UUCUCGUACGAACACCGCAGUUAAGCAACAUCGAGCCUGGUCAGUACCUAGAUGGGUGACCGUUUGGGAAUGCCAGGCGCCGUAAG